rnacentral:rRNA from 1 species
UACAGAGGUCUCAAGCGUUGUUCGGAUUCAUUGGGCGUAAAGGGCGCGUAGGCGGCGGGGCAAGUCGGGUGUGAAAUCUCAGGGCUCAACCCUGAAACUGCACUCGAUACUGCUCUGCUUGAGGACUGGAGAGGAGACUGGAAUUCACGGUGUAGCAGUGAAAUGCGUAGAUAUCGUGAGGAAGACCAGUGGCGAAGGCGGGUCUCUGGACAGUCCCUGACGCUGAGGCGCGAAGGCCAGGGGAGCAAAGCAGG